UACGGAGGGAGCUAGCGUUGUUCGGAAUUACUGGGCGUAAAGCGCACGUAGGCGGCUUUGUAAGUUAGAGGUGAAAGCCUGGAGCUCAACUCCAGAAUUGCCUUUAAGACUGCAUCGCUUGAAUCCAGGAGAGGUGAGUGGAAUUCCGAGUGUAGAGGUGAAAUUCGUAGAUAUUCGGAAGAACACCAGUGGCGAAGGCGGCUCACUGGCCCGGUACUGACGCUGAGGUGCGAAAGCGUGGGAGCAACAGG
rnacentral:rRNA from 1 species